rnacentral:rRNA from 1 species
CCUAUGGGAGGCUGCAGUGGGGAAUAUUGGACAAUGGGGGCAACCCUGAUCCAGCCAUGCCGCGUGUGUGAAGAAGGCCCUCGGGUUGUAAAGCACUUUCAGUGAGGAAGAACGCCUGGUGGUUAAUACCCAUCAGGAAAGACAUCACUCACAGAAGAAGCACCGGCUAACUCCGUGCCAGCAGCCGCGGUAAUACGGAGGGUGCGAGCGUUAAUCGGAAUUACUGGGCGUAAAGCGCGCGUAGGUGGCUUGAUAAGCCGGUUGUGAAAGCCCCGGGCUCAACCUGGGAACGGCAUCCGGAACUGUCAAGCUAGAGUGCAGGAGAGGAAGGUAGAAUUCCCGGUGUAGCGGUGAAAUGCGUAGAGAUCGGGAGGAAUACCAGUGGCGAAGGCGGCCUUCUGGACUGACACUGACACUGAGGUGCGAAAGCGUGGGUAGCAAACAGGAUUAGAUACCCUAGUAGUC